AUUGAACGCUAGCGGCAGGCUUUACACAUGCAAGUCGAACGAGUGGCGGACGGGUGAGUAAUGUAUGGGAACCUGCCCAGUAGCGGGGGAUAACUACUCGAAACAGUGGCUAAUACCGCAUCCUAUUGGAUCAACCCAUCUAGGAUUAGCUAGUGGGUGGGGUAAAGGCUCACCAAGGCAACGAUCUGUAGCUGGUGUGAGAGGACGAUCAGCAACACUGGGACUGAGACACGGCCCAGAGUCCUACGGGAGGCAGCAGUGGGGAAUUUUGGAAAAUGGGGGAAAACCUGAUACAGCCAUGCCGCGUGUAUGAGAAGGACUUCGGGUUGUAAAGUACUUUUGGCGGGGAAGCGGUAUCUGAAGAAUAAGCACCGGCUAACUACGUGCCAGCAGCCGCGGUAAUAC
rnacentral:rRNA from 1 species